rnacentral:rRNA from 1 species
GACUCUGGGCAGUAGAUGACUUGGCUUGUGUACCUACUAAGAAUAUAGUUAGCUGUAGGAGUUAUCAUGACUGGUAGGACUCACUGAUCACUGACAGUUUGAACGCACUUAUGGCCCUGAGUUCAUCUUGGGGUUAUACCUGUCUGAGCAUCC